UACCCAACCUAAUCCUAAGCCACCCACACCAUUCUCGUCUCCUCCAAUCUUCUGCGUGCGUUGACGUCUCCUCCAACCUAACUGUCGGCGUCGUCUUCUCCGGUCGUCAGCGCCAUCUCCGAUCGUCUUCUUCAUUUGCAUUGAGGCCAGCUCACGGAGGAAGAAGCAAAUCAGAUCUGUUUCAAAAAGAUUUCUGAGCACGGAUCGUGAAAGCUUCUCGAAACUUCUUCCUUCUUAUUGUUCCAAUUGUGUAAAGGUAUUUUCUGGCUGAAAUUGAGGGACCUGAGCAAAACUUUGAUAAAAGGCUGACAAAGGACUGCUGAUGUUGUUGGAUUCUGACCUCUCUGCACUCGAAAUAGAAUUUCUGGAGCUACAGAACUCCAAAUGGCACGCUCUCAACGGCGUUGGAAAGUAGACAUUCAGAGCUUUCCAGAAAUAUAUAAUAGUUCAUACUUUAUUCGAGAUUAGACGAUGUAAACUGGCGCUCAACGCCAGUUCCGUGCUGCAUUCUGGAGUCAAACGCCAGAAACACGUCACGAACCAGAGUUGAAUGCCAAAAACACGUUACAACUUGGCUUUCAACUCCAAAAGAAGCCUCUGCACGUGUAAAUCUCAAGCUCAACCCAAGCACACACCAAGUGGGCCGGGGAAGUGAAUUUCUGAAUCAAUUACUUACUUCUGUAAACCCUAGUAGCUAGUCUAGUAUAAAUAGGACAUUUUACUAUUGUAUUAGACAUCCUGGAUUGUAUUUUUGAUCCUGUGAUCACAUUUUGGGGGCUGGCCAUUCGGCCAUGCCUGGACCUUCAUCACUUAUGUAUUUUCAACGGUGGAGUUUCUACACACCAUAGAUUAAGGGUGUGGAGCUCUGCUGUACCUCGAGUUUCAAUGCAAUUACUACUAUUUUCUAUUCUAUUCGACUUAUUCUUAUUCUAAGAUAUUCGUUGCACUUCAACAUGAUGAAUGUGAUGAUCCGUGACACUCAUUAUCAUUCUCACCUAUGAACGCGUGACUGACAACCACUUCCGUUCUACCUU